CAUUUCAGAAUUAUAUUUCCAAGGAGUCAGUCACAACACUUCACCUCAAGCACUAUGAAUACCAAAGCAGUUUUUUUCCUAGUUUGUGUUGUAUUGAUGGCCUUUGUGACGGCACAAGGAGCACACGCUUUUACGGCUGGUGGCGGUGGAAAUAUACCAGGAGCGGGAAAACGAGAAUAUAUGGUGUUAAAAAGAGCUGUUAAGAAUCUUUGUCUUGUCGCACGAGCUCACUGCAAGAGAGAUGUACUCCUUUCAGAUGAAUAAAGUCGAACUGUUCUUUUAAUAAAAAAUGUCAGUUGAAUAAAUUACAUGCAACAACGAAGAUGUCAGCCAUCACAGCAAGAUAAUAUUUUAAGAAAAAAAAGUUAAUCAAGUARAUUACAUCAAUAUUGUCUAUUCUUACUGUAAAUGAAUAUUGUCGUAAUAAAUAUGAUUUUCAAAUGA